rnacentral:piRNA from 1 species
UGAUGGCAAGCCCUGGUGAGAUUGUUCC